rnacentral:rRNA from 1 species
AUACAGAGGUCUCAAGCGUUGUUCGGAUUCAUUGGGCGUAAAGGGUGCGUAGGCGGCGCGGUAAGUCGGGUGUGAAAUUUCGAGGCUUAACUUCGAAAUUGCAUUCGAUACUGCCGUGCUUGAGGACUGGAGAGGAGACUGGAAUUUACGGUGUAGCGGUGAAAUGCGUAGAUAUCGUAAGGAAGACCAGUGGCGAAGGCGGGUCUCUGGACAGUUCCUGACGCUGAGGCACGAAGGCCAGGGGAGCAAACG